CCUGAUUAAGCCGCCCGGCAGCAAGGAGGAAGGCCUGCUGCUUUGGCACCAUAUCUAGUCUGAAAUAAUUGUUCCAUUUUCUUGAAAUUAAGCCCUUUCCUUGUGAUCGAAUUACAAUUCAGAGGUAGAUGAAAAACGAACCACCUGUCAGUCCGUCCCUCUGCCCGGGUCAUGUGUGCAUCGAAGAUCUGGGCUGUCACGUGUUGGACUUAAAUCAGGCGGCAGAAGUGCCUUCACGACAGUGUCUUUAGCUGCACCGAGCAAAUCAAGGUCAAAUAAAAGUAGGUCAGCUCUGAACAUGACAGGUCACUCUGCCUGUUUCUGUGGAAGACUGACAGCAGUAGGGACGGAGCAGAAACGGAGACCGGCUGCGAGAUGGGGGGACAUCUGGACGAGGGUAGGGAGAUGUGGUGGCUUUCAAGAUACACUCCGGGGGAACAGCUGUCAAGAACUGCAAGCAGACGACGUGAGGCGCCAGGGAAGGAGCAAGACGAUGAUGCCUACAUGUUGGGCCUGCGUAACCAGGGAAAUGGUUCUGCCUCAUAAGAUGGGGAAGAAGGGGGAGGAGCAGGGUUAUAUGUUUUCCUUUUUUUCUUUUCAAGAGAAAAAUAUCAAGACUUGUAUUUAGUUAUCUUAGGUCUAGGAUGCCCAUUAAAUGUCAAAGUGGGGAUGCUGAGUGGGUAGUGGGUAUGUGGGUUGGGGCUCAGGAGAAAGGUCCAAGGUCAUCAUUGUACCGAUGACCACUGGGUCCUCCACCUCCGGACAGGCACCCAGGCGUCACCUCCUCCAGGCUCUGGCGGCUGCUCUGUGGCUCCUCCUGCCUAGAAUGCUCUGUCCUCACUUCUGCAGUGUAGGCUCCUACUCGUCUCUUGAGACUUGCUCAAGAGGCACCUCUUGUUUAAAGGCCCCUCCUGAGUGCCCAGGGGAGAGCCCCUCAGCCCUCCCUUCCCCUGCGGUGCCCUGUCACAUGCCCCAAUAGCCUUGUGUCACCUCUAUUUGCACCUUUCCUCCUCAUGAGCAUCUUGAGGGCAGUGACCAGAAGACUAUUCCUCCCUGUACCCCACCUCCUACCAUAAGGCCGGGGCACGGCAAACAUUUGCUAAAUGAACAGAGAUGCCCUCUCUGUAAAGAGGCCCAAAAGAAACGACAUGCGUGCCAACUGACCCACACGGCAGCCGCUGUCUGCGAGGAGUAAAGGGGGAAAUAGGUAUUGCCCCUGCAGCGCUAGGGGUAGAAUGGUAUCCACCUUCGAGGAGUUUCUUAACAAUACAAAAGAGCCUCAAGAAAUCGAAGAGCUGGGGCACCUGGGUGGCUCAGUGGUUGAGGGUCUGCCUUCAGCUCAGGGCGUGAUCCCAGGGUCCUGGGAUCGAGUCCCAUGUUGGACUCCCUGCGUGGAGCCUGCUUCUCCCUCUGCCUGUGUCUCUGCCUCUCUCUGUGUCUCUCAUUAAUAAAUAAAUAAAAAUCUUAAAAAAAAAAAAAAGAAAUCUAAGAGCUGAGUAUCUCAGGAUGUCACACGGUGUACUGAACACCACAUCUGAGAAACGCGUCUCGGGUCUCCCUGCAGAAACACCCAGCGAGUCCCAAACCGAAGCACUGAGGAGUCCGAGACAGAAGGAAGCAAACCGCCCUCGUCUACGUGGCCUCCUGCACUCCUGAGAGUGAGCCUGGAAGCAGGUGCCCUAGAGGUAACAGCGAGGGGGAAUGGGAAAUCGUGUUUUGUAUCAGUGAUUCCCGCUGCGUGAUUCUGGGACCCCAUGGACAGCCUCAUCUUCUCCAUCCAGCUCCUGUUCAAUCUGCAAUACCCUACUGGCUCGAGGACUUCUUCUACUUCACUCCAGUAUUUGCAAGGCAUCUCCUAAAGUGACCACCACGGGAUAUGACACCUCCUCUCCCAUCUCCGUAUGUGGCCACCGGUCCUGGGCUUGCCCAAGAGAUCACAGAUGGGGAUGAUCUCCGGGACUGAGACUCUCAGACCCUCUCCUAUUUGCAAAAGAAAUCUGCCAAAUUACAGCUAUUUCAACAAGAUGGCUAAUAAAAAGGACUAAGUGCCUUGUUCAAAUUUACAACAUCAUAACUUGCUGAAUUCAAGUUCACUCGUCUUCAACCUUGCUUAAAUAGGGGCAAUCAAAAUUUAUAUCCUGCAUUAUCCAACAUUUUAUGUUGACUUAGUAAGCCUUGCUGAAGAGUUCUUAACAACUGCUAAUGAGGAAAUUCCAUGGGGAGGAGAGAAGGUGACUCUCCUAAAUCCAAAAGAGCCUCAAUGAAACACUAUCGCCACUUGGAUUCUCAUAAAAAUGUCAACUUAUGGGGUGAAAUGACCUUCUCAUCUAUGGGCAAAGUUGCUAAUGAACAGAACUCUAAAUUGAUGCAGUGUCUGAGAGGUGCCAGUUUCGUUUAGCAGAGACUGCCCGCUCAGUUACCUGUGGGCCCUGUAAAGGUGCAACAGCUGGGCAGGAGGGACAGGUCCCCCCAGGACCACCACUCUUCAGCACUGCCAUGAGGGAAGAUGGACCCAAUGCUGCAGGUUCUCAUGCAGAGCCAGAAAUCCAGAUUUCUAGACACCAUCUACCACCUUUCAGAUGCUAGCCACUAACUGUAGUUUUAGAAUACUGUGAGCGCUGAACCAAAUACAUCUGCAGGCCAGAUGUGGCCCGUGAGUCAAGUUUUCAACCUCUGCUUGAAAGUAUCUACAUUUUCUUAAUGGGUAAUUUUUGUUCAAUUUUAUUUUCAGGAGGACGGCAGGAGGCAGGGAAAUAAUAUGGGAUGAGAGUCAAGCAGUUGAUACUAAGAAUAUAUUCCUAACGUACUUGACAAACAAGGGUAGUGGUCCCUAACAAAACGGGAAGAAACUGUUGAAAUUGACUCGCCUCUACCAGGCAUAAAACCCUCGAGAGUAAGGAUUUCCCAUGAUCCAGAGCGAAUUUCCACAAUUUGCUAUCAAUGAAUCGACAAGAACUUACUCCACUACUACGUAUUAACCGUUCAUCAUAAGACAUUUAAAAUAACAACAGCAAGCACAGAAAUGCUCCUCAGUGCCGGAUGCUACUCAGGCAUUUGGCACCCGGCAGCACCAGUGUGGGUCACACAGGCUCUGGGCAAGAUUCCAGGAAAGGCCUAACACAUCUCCCUCCGAAACGAAAACCAAAAACAACCCGGAAUGUAGACAUAUCAUAAAAUUGUGCUCAGUCGUUUUUUUCCCCAAAGCCCAAACAAUAAGAUAUAUUUGUGCUACUAACAGUAUCUGCAUGUAAUCUGCAAUCCACAAAGUGCCUUUCUUAUAUCCUAUCUCACUCCUCGGGGCCUUUACUGCACUGUAGACCUUGUAUCCUGUCUGAAGUCCUCUCACGGUUGUUGUUAAAGACACGACUC